rnacentral:lncRNA from 1 species
UUACAGAGUCAGAAGCUGGUAUUUUUCCAUGUGUUUAUCCUGUCUCCAUUAAUUUGUAAUCUUCCAGAGGGCAAGGCCUGAACACAAGCUUCUGUUGGUGUAAAGUGGAGGCACAGGCUGCAGGACUGUCUCAGAAGGGAAAUAAUAUUUACCUUCCAAACUGAGAUCUAAAACCCGAACAAAGCCUCAGGAAACAUACUCCACCACCAUCUUACAAGUUUGUGCUACGGGUGGAGGGAAAAUGAAUCUAAUGUAGGAGGCCUCCCGCUGUGCGUCUAGC